CCCUGUAUCGAAAGGUGAUCAUGGCGUCUCGGUUGCCUGGUCAUUAAAAUUACAGGAAGAUGAACCUGUGAGCCUUUCCCGUGUUUGAAGGACUGCCAGUUCCUAUCAGACCCUGGUGCUCUCAGACA
ensembl:snoRNA SNORA71 Small nucleolar RNA SNORA71